UACGUAGGGACCGAGCGUUGUCCGGAAUCAUUGGGCGUAAAGGGUGCGUAGGCGGUCGGGUAAGUCUGACGUGAAAUCUCCAAGCCUAACUUGGAAACUGCGUUGGAUACUAUCCGGCUCGAGGAAUGGAGGGGAGACUGGAAUACUUGGUGUAGCAGUGAAAUGCGCAGAUAUCAGGAGGAACACCGGUGGCGAAGGCGGGUCUCUGGGCCGAUACUGACGCUGAGGAGCGAAAGCGUGGGGAGCGAACAGG
rnacentral:rRNA from 1 species